UACGAAGGGGGCUAGCGUUGUUCGGAUUCAUUGGGCGCAAAAGGUGCGUAGGCGGCGCGGCAAGUCGGGUGUGAAAUCUCGGAGCUUAACUCCGAAACUGCAUUCGAUACUGCCGUGCUUGAGGACUGGAGAGGAGACUGGAAUUUACGGUGUAGCGGUGAAAUGCGUAGAUAUCGUAAGGAAGACCAGUGGCGAAGGCGGGUCUCUGGACAGUUCCUGACGCUGAGGCACGAAGGCCAGGGGAGCAAACGGG
rnacentral:rRNA from 1 species